rnacentral:rRNA from 1 species
GAUUGCCCCAGUAACGGCGAGUGAAGCGGCAACAGCUCAAAUUUGAAAUCUGGCGCAAGCCCGAGUUGUAAUUUGCAGAGGAUGCUUUUGGUGCGGUGCCUUCUGAGUUCCCUGGAACGGGACGCCGGAGAGGGUGAGAGCCCCGUACAGUUGGACACCAAGCCUUUGUAAAGCUCCUUCGACGAGUCGAGUAGUUUGGGAAUGCUGCUCAAAAUGGGAGGUAAAUGCCUUCUAAAGCUAAAUACCGGCCAGAGACCGAUAGCGCACAAGUAGAGUGAUCGAAAGAUGAAAAGCACUUUGAAAAGAGGGUUAAAAAGUACGUGAAAUUGUUGAAAGGGAAGCGCUCGUGACCAGACUUGCGCCCGGCGGAUCAUCCGGCCUUCUGGCCGGUGCACUCCGCCGGGCUCAGGCCAGCAUCGGUUCUUCCGGGGGGACAAAAGCGGUGGGAACGUAGCUCCUCCGGGAGUGUUAUAGCCCGCCGCAGAAUACCCCCGGGGGGACCGAGGACCGCGCUUCGGCAAGGAUGCUGGCGUAAUGGUCACCAGCGACCCGUCUUGAAACACGGACCAAGGAGUCAAGCAUUAGGGCGAGUGUUUGGGUGUCAAACCCGCACGCGAAAUGAAAGUGAACGCAGGUGAGAGCUUCGGCGCAUCAUCGACCGAUCCUGAUGUUUUCGGAUGGAUUUGAGUAAGAGCCUUGCCGCUUGGACCCGAAAGAUGGUGAACUAUGCUUGGAUAGGGUGAAGCCAGAGGAAACUCUGGUGGAGGCUCGCAGCGGUUCUGACGUGCAAAUCGAUCGUCAAAUCUGAGCAUGGGGCGAAAGACUAAUCGAACCAUCUAGUAGC